AAAGUCGGUCAGACAAUCGCUUUUCGCAAUUCGCGGAGAGAGGAAAGUCCGGGCUCCACAGGGCAAAGCGCCAGGUAACACCUGGGAGGCGCGAGCCUACGGAAAGUGCCACAGAAAAUAUACCGCCUGUCCAAUCUUGGGUGGGUAAGGGUGAAAUGGUGCGGUAAGAGCGCACCGCAUUGCUGGUAACAGCAAUGGCAUGGAAAACCCCGCUUGGAGCAAGACCAAAUAGGAAUCCAUUGCAAUUUAUUGCAACACAUGGCCCAUGUGGGAUUCGGGUAGGUCGCUUGAGGCAAACGGUGACGUUUGUCCCAGAUGAAUGAUUGUCCGCGACAGAACCCGGCUUAUCGACCGACUUUGUUA
rfam:Legionella londiniensis strain ATCC 49505 Llon_ctg010, whole genome shotgun sequence.